UACGUAGGGGGGCAAGCGUUGUCCGGAUUUAUUGGGCGUAAAGAGCGUGUAGGCGGCCAGGCAGGUCCGCUGUGAAAACUCGAGGCUCAACCUCGAGAGGUCGGUGGAAACCGUCUGGCUAGAGUCCGGAAGAGGAGAGUGGAAUUCCCGGUGUAGCGGUGAAAUGCGCAGAUAUCGGGAAGAACACCCGUGGCGAAGGCGGCUCUCUGGGACGGUACUGACGCUGAGACGCGAAAGCGUGGGGAGCGAACAGG
rnacentral:rRNA from 1 species